rnacentral:rRNA from 1 species
GACGAACGCUGGCGGCGUGCCUAACACAUGCAAGUCGAACGCGAAAGGGGGCUUGCCCCCAAGUAAAGUGGCGCACGGGUGAGUAACGCGUGGGUAACCAACCCCUAGGUGGGGGAUAACGGCCCGAAAGGGACGCUAAUCCCGCAUAAGACCACGAUAGCGCAGGCUAUUGGGGCCAAAGGAGUGAUUCGCCUAGGGACGGGCCCGCGUCCCAUCAGCUAGUUGGUAGGGUAACGGCCUACCAAGGCAGUGACGGGUAGCUGGUCUGAGAGGAUGAUCAGCCACACUGGGACUGGAACACGGCCCAGACUCCUACGGGAGGCAGCAGUGAGGAAUUUUGGACAAUGGGCGAAAGCCUGAUCCAGCAACGCCGCGUGAGUGAUGAAGGCCCUCGGGUUGUAAAGCUCUUUCAGGGGGAACGAGGAAGGACGGUACCCCCACAAGAAGCACCGGCUAACUCCGUG